rnacentral:lncRNA from 1 species
CGUGUCAGAGCCCUUCUCCUUGACGUCCACUGCCACAAUGUCACCGUCGCCAUCGACGUACUUGACCAGCAGCGCCAGGUAGUUGGGGCCGCACCCCUUUUCAAGGUGGAAGGUGACCUUGGAGUCGUACUUGCACUUAACCCUUCGGAACUGCAUGUCGAUGAUGCCCGCCUUGCGCAGCUUCUCCUCCUCGCCCUUCUUGGCCAUGGCGCCGAACGCCGUGCCUGCUAAAUCGAAGUGGUACGCCGCGAUAGGCUCAUAGUUCAUGUCCGUGAUGUGCACCACCACGGGCUUGCCGGAGCACUCCACAGGCUUAUCGCACUUGAUCUCGAAGCAGGACCCACAACCCAGACCAUCCUUGAAGAUGGGGAUGUUGCCGCAUGCGCCCAUGCUAUUGAAGGGGGGCUUGUUCACGUCCUUGUACCCGCAGCCGCCACCGUUAUCGUCGGGACCGGCACCCGUCGGCUUGCCAUACCAUGUCGCUUUAGCGUCCAGCCAGUCCUUGCCAUAGGUGGCCGUGAUGUUCUUGCCUGGGGGGACUUUGGGAGGACCGCACCAUGCGCCUCUCACCAAGAACACCAACGCCACAACCAUCGCAACCUGUGCCCGCAUCGACGACCACAUGGUUCUCACAUUCACAGCCAUGUUUUGUCUUGGAUUAGUGAAUGGUACUAUGCUACGAUGAAUGAGCGGGUAGGCCUGAAUUUAUGGUUGUGUGUGCCAACGGUUGGACGAUCGAGCUUGCAACCGUGAAGCGCGCGCAUGCAUGCACCAACGAGGAGGUAGAGUUUGCAUGGUCGAGCGAGCUUUUCUCUUGGCCACCAGUUUACUAAUUGGUUCCGUAAGUCGAAGGUGACCAUGCAUGGUAGCUCUGCAUGCAAAGCUGCUCGUAUCAUCGCGAUACUUAUGCCAUGGUGCUACUUUGGCUAAUGGUGAAGCGAGGACUCUCCUUCUUCUCGCUUUGAAAGGGAAAUAACCUCAACAUUUCCUAUAAUCGAUUUUGGUGUUUGACGUCCAUCACAAAACCAUAUGGACUAAUUAGUUUGCCUAGUGGACAUUUUUCCCACGUGCAUAAAGUUCACAUAAACAUACAAAGAAAAGGAAUUGAGUGAAUUCUACAAAGUUUGGAGCAUACAAGUUCUUGUGCUACUAGUAGCGCACCGGACACUGUCCGGUGUGCAUCGGACACUGUCUGGUACCCUGGCUGAGCACCUCGCGAACUGGUCGCUCUCAGGUUUUCUCAGCGUUAGUCCGCUAAAAUUCAUCGAACUGUCUGAUGCACCACCAGACUAUCCGGUGAGACAACGGAGCAACGAUCAACUUCGCUGACUACAGGGCAGUCUGCAGCGCAGAAGUCAGAAGUCAGUCUGCAAAGUCAGAACACACCAGACUGUUCGGUGUGCCACCAGACUAUCCAGUGCCACAAGAAGAUAGUAGACUUCAACGGUCAAUAGCUCCAAACCCCAAUGGUCAACAGCUCCAAACCCCAACGGUCGACUCACGUGGCACUCACCGGAUAUUAAACAAUGCAGUGUUCCGUGCACCACCGGACUGUCCGGUGUGCCCAUCUACAGCAACGGCUGGAAUAGUGGUUAGGGCUAUAAAUACCCCCGACCACCACCAUUCAAGCCACCCAAGCAUUGCAACUUCCUCAUUCAAUACUAGAGCAAAAGAAUACACUCCAAACACACAAUCAAAGCAUCAACCCCUCUCCAAGCUUCAAAAUCAAGUCAAGUGAUCAAAAGUGCUUAGUGACUUGAGAGAGGGUGAUUUGUGUUUGUUUUGUUGCUCUUGUUGCUUGGUUGCAUUCUUCUUCUCAUUCUAAACUUCUCAAGUGUUUUGUAAAGCAAGCGAGAGACACCUAAUUGUGUGGUGAUCCUUGCGGGGUCUUAGUGACACGUGUGAUUAAGAAGAUGCACUUAACCGGUCUAAGUGACCGAUUGAGAGAGGAAAAGGGUUGGAAUAGACCCAGCCUUUUGGCCUCCUCAAUGGGGAGUAGGUUCCUUGGAACCGAACCUCUGGAAACAAAUCACCGUGUUCGCUUGUGUUGAUCUUUAUCACUCGAUUUGUUUCUUCCCUCUCCUCUCUUCCUAAUAGUUCCCUUGCUCACAUUGAUUUGAGUUUGAUACCAAAGUUAUCCGCAUUGAUUGAGCAACUCAAAGCAAGGAGAACUAUCUCCCGCUCUUCGAAUUUAAUAUUAUUUAUCUCUAACCCUAACCCCGUGUGAAGUGCGUGUUCAAAGUUUAUAAUUUUCAAGUUUCGCCUAUUCACCCUCUCUAGGCGACUUUCAUGCUUCCUAUGGAAGAAUUCAUUGUUACCACAUAUUUUUAAGUCAUUAUAUUGGAGCAAAGUUGCGUAACCAUGUCAACCUCUAUUAUUCGUGGAAACGAUCCUUCAGGGAUUGUCGCAAGUUAAUUGGUAUAUCAAAUGUGCGAAUGUAGGAUUUAAACAUAGCGUAAUCUUCAAGACUCCACAUCUAAAUGAACAACUAGAAAGAUGACUUGUCUAGACAAUUAUAGGGAAUUGAACCAUAAACAUUCGAGGUACUCCAAUUAUACAAAAAAUGUAAUUAUGAGAUUCGUGUUGGACAAACGAGGUCAAAUUUAACCAAAUUUAUAUUCAGUAUUAUUAAUAUUUAUAUCAAAUAUAUUAUACUAGAACUUUUAAUACAUAGUGAAAUGAACUGCGAGCUUUCCAAAGAACCCCAACAUUCUUCUUUGCUAAAAAGACUAUUUUGUAUGCGCAUGCAUAGGCAACUAAUUCUUCUAACUAGUUGUUAUAACAUUUUCUUUUAUAUAUACUAGUCAGUUGUCAGUAUGUUACUAUGGUUUUCAUAUUCACAAUAUUAAUAAUAUACAUUUUUUCUAGAACAUGAAUAAAUAUGUGUUUCAGUGGUUAGACGCUAAGCAUAGGAGGAAUGGUUCUAACCCUAGGUUCUACAUUUUUUGGAUUUUCUCAUGGGAGAACUUAACGCAUAAAGGGCGACAUCUUAAUUAAUGUUGGAAAUUGUACAAGUAAUGCAUGCAAACGGUGAAGACAAAAGUUUUAUCUCAUGAGUAGAAAGCUCAUGUUAUGUAGCACAAAUGAACACCUUAGCGUCGACCUUCAAAGAACGACCAACACACGUUAAGGAUGGCCCUACAUCUAGAAUCAGCAUGUACUAUCAUAUAUUUCAAUUAGUCAUAAAAAAUAUGUAUUCUAUUAAAAUGUAGCCAUGCAUGAUAAAGUUAGGAUUACGUAGGAGAUACAUGGACAACACAACAUUCAUGGAUCCUUUUAUAAAAAAUGAAGGCCUAUCAAAUAUUUCAUUAGGCACUUAUUAUAUAACGUGUCAAUCCAUUUCUUAACUCUUCUCUUUUAAACAACAGCGAAGUCUCACUCUAGCUAUAUAUGGAGAUGAAGAAGAUGGAGAAGGAGGAUGACACCAUCAUUGUUGGCGCCAGCAUCACUGUCGUAAUAGGGUAGUGGUAGCAAAUAGAUAUCACGGUCCAAUGCAUGCAUGUGUAAUGCAUUGCUUGGGAUCCAACCCAAUCUAGUAUAGCUAGCAUAGGUCGGCUUAAAGUAUUGUCAGCACUAAAGUUAAUUAUUUGGCGGUGUAGGCGGUGUUGGCCUUCCAGUUGGCAGGGAUGACAUCGUCGUAGACGGACUUGGUGCCUCCCUCGGUAGUGAGGCGGACGGUGAGGGGUCCCUUAAGCGGUUUGUCGCUGUCCUUCCUCCAGAUGGCGCCCCAGGAGUGCUUCAGGGGCUCGUAUGUGUCGGAGCCCUUCUCCUUGACGUCCACUGCCACAAUGUCACCGUCGCCGUCGACGUACUUGACCAGCAGUGCCAGGUAGUUGGGGCCGCACCCCUUUUCAAGGUGGAAGGUGACCUUGGAGUCGUACUUGCACUUAACCCUUCGGAACUGCAUGUCGAUGAUGCCCGCCUUGCGUAGCUUCUCCUCCUCGCCCUUCUUGGCCAUGGCGCCGAACGCCGUGCCUGCUAAAUCGAAGUGGUACGCCGCGAUAGGCUCAUAGUUCAUGUCCGUGAUGUGCACCACCACGGGCUUGCCGGAGCACUCCACAGGCUUAUCGCACUUGAUCUCGAAGCAGGACCCACAACCCAGACCAUCCUUGAAGAUGGGGAUGUUGCCGCAUGCGCCCAUGCUAUUGAAGGGGGGCUUGUUCACGUCCUUGUACCCGCAGCCGCCACCGUUGUCGUCGGGACCGGCACCCGUCGGCUUGCCAUACCAUGUCGCUUUAGCGUCCAACCAGUCCUUGCCAUAGGUGGCCGUGAUGUUCUUGCCUGGGGGGACUUUGGGAGGACCGCACCAUGCGCCGCUCACCAAGAACACCAACGCCACAGCCAUCGCAACAUGUGCCCGCAUCGACGACCACAUGGUUCUCACAUUCACAGCCAUGUUUUGUCUUGGAUUAGUGAAUGGUACUAUGCUACGAUGAAUGAGAGGGUAGGCCUGAAUUUAUGGUUGUGUGUGCCAACGGUUGGACGAUCGAGCUUGCAACCGUGAAGCGCGCGCAUGCAUGCACCAACGAGGAGGUAGAGUUUGCAUGGUCGAGCGAGCUUUUCUCUUGGCCACCAGUUUACUAAUUGGUUCCGUAAGUCGAAGGCGACCAUGCAUGGUAGCUCUGCAUGCAAAGCUGCUCGUAUCGUCGCGAUACUUAUGCCAUGGUGCUACUUUGGCUAAUGGUGAAGCGAGGACUCUCCUUCUUCUCGCUUUGAAAGGGAAAUAACCUCAACAUUUCCUAUAAUCGAUUUUGGUGUUUGACGUCCAUCACAAAACCAUAUGGACUAAUUAGUUUGCCUAGUGGACAUUUUUCCCACGUGCAUAAAGUUCACAUAAACAUACAAAGAAAAGGACUUGAGUGAAUUCUACAAAGUUUGGAGCAUACAAGUUCUUGUGCUACCAGUAGCGCACCGGACACUGUCCGGUGUGCAUCGGACACUGUCUGGUACCCUGGCUGAGCACCUCGCGAACUGGUCGCUCUCGGGUUUUCUCAGCGUUAGUCCGCUAAAAUUCAUCGAACUGUCCGAUGCACCACCAGACUAUCCGGUGAGACAACGGAGCAACGAUCAACUUCGCUGACUACAGGGCAGUCUGCAGCGCAGAAGUCAGAAGUCAGUCUGCAAAGUCAGAACACACCAGACUGUUCGGUGUGCCACCAGACUAUCCAGUGCCACAAGAAGACAGUAAACUUCAACGGUCAAUAGCUCCAAACCCCAAUGGUCAACAGCUCCAAACCCCAACGGUCGACUCACGUGGCACUCACCGGAUAGUAAACAAUGCAGUGUUCCGUGCACCACCGGACUGUCCGGUGUGCCCAUCUACAGCAACGGCUGGAAUAGUGGUUAGGGCUAUAAAUACCCCCGACCACCACCAUUCAAGCCACCCAAGCAUUGCAACUUCCUCAUUCAAUACUAGAGCAAAAGAAUACACUCCAAACACACAAUCAAACCAUCAACCCCUCUCCAAGCUUCAAAAUCAAGUCAAGUGAUCAAAAGUGCUUAGUGACUUGAGAGAGGGUGAUUUGUGUUUGUUUUGUUGCUCUUGUUGCUUGGUUGCAUUCUUCUUCUCAUUCUAAACUUCUCAAGUGUUUUGUAAAGCAAGCGAGAGACACCUAAUUGUGUGGUGAUCCUUGCGGGGUCUUAGUGACACGUGUGAUUAAGAAGAUGCACUUAACCGGUCUAAGUGACCGAUUGAGAGAGGAAAAGGGUUGGAAUAGACCCAGCCUUUGUGGCCUCCUCAAUGGGGAGUAGGUUCCUUGGAACCGAACCUCGAGAAACAAAUCACCGUGUUCACUUGAGUUGAUCUUUAUCACUCGAUUUGUUUCUUCCCUCUCCUCUCUUCCUAAAAGUUCCCUUGCUCACAUUGAUUUGAGUUUGAUACCAAAGUUAUCCGCAUUGAUUGAGCAACUCAAAGCAAGGAGAACUAUCUCCCGCUCUUCGAAUUUAAUAUUAUUUAUCUCUAACCCUAACCCCGUGUGAAGUGCGUGUUCAAAGUUUAUAAUUUUCAAGUUUCGCCUAUUCACCCUCUCUAGGCGACUUUCAUGCUUCCUAUGGAAGAAUGUCAUUGUUGCCACAUAUUUUUAAGUCAUUAUAUUGGAGCAAAGUGGCGUAACCAUGUCAACCUCUAUUAUUCGUGGAAACGAUCCUUCAGGGAUUGUCGCAAGUUAAUUGGUAUAUCAAAUGUGCGAAUGUAGGAUUUAAACAUAGCGUAAUCUUCAAGACUCCACAUCUAAAUGAACAACUAGAAAGAUGACUUGUCUAGACAAUUAUAGGGAAUUGAACCAUAAACAUUCGAGGUACUCCAAUUAUACAAAAAUGUAAUUAUGAGAUUCGUGUUGGACAAACGAGGUCAAAUUUAACCAAAUUUAUAUUCAGUAUUCUUAAUAUUUAUAUCAAAUAUAUUAUACUAGAACUUUUAAUACAUAGUGAAAUGAACUGCGAGCUUUCCAAAGAACCCCAACAUUCUUCUUUGCUAAAAAAGACUAUUUUGUAUGCGCAUGCAUAGGCAACUAAUUCUUCUAACUAGUUGUUAUAACAUUUUCUUUUAUAUAUACUAGUCAGUUGUCAGUAUGUUACUAUGGUUUUCAUAUUCACAAUAUUAAUAAUAUACAUUCUUUCUAGAACAUGAAUAAAUAUGUGUUUCAGUGGUUAGACGCUAAGCAUAGGAGGAAUGGUUCUAACCCUAGGUUCUACAUUUUUUGGAUUUUCUCAUGGGAGAACUUAACGCAUAAAGGGCGACAUCUUAAUUAAUGUUGGAAAUUGUACAAGUAAUGCAUGCAAACGGUGAAGACAGAAGUUUUAUCUCAUGAGUAGAAAGCUCAUGUUAUGUAACACAAAUGAACACCUUAGCGUCGACCUUCAAAGAACGACCAACACACGUUAAGGAUGGCCCUACAUCUAGAAUCAGCAUGUACUAUCAUAUAUUUCAAUUAGUCAUAAAAAAUAUGUAUUCUAUUAAAAUGUAGCCAUGCAUGAUAAAGUUAGGAUUACGUAGGAGAUACAUGGACAACACAACAUUCAUGGAUCCUUUUAUAAAAAAUGAAGGCCUAUCAAAUAUUUCAUUAGGCACUUAUUAUAUAACGUGUCAAUCCAUUUCUUAACUCUGAUCUUUUAAACAACAGCGAAGUCUCACUCUAGCUAUAUAUGGAGAUGAAGAAGAUGGAGAAGGAGGAUGACACCAUCAUUGUUGGCGCCAGCAUCACUGUCAUAAUAGGGUAGUGGUAGCAAAUAGAUAUCACGGUCCAAUGCAUGCAUGUGUAAUGCAUUGCUUGGGAUCCAACCCAAUCUAGUAUAGCUAGCAUAGGUCAGCUUAAAGUAUUGUCAGCACUAAAGUUAAUUAUUUGGCGGUGUAGGCGGUGUUGGCCUUCCAGUUGGCAGGGAUGACAUCGUCGUAGACGGACUUGGUGCCUCCCUCGGUAGUGAGGCGGACGGUGAGGGGUCCCUUAAGCGGUUUGUCGCUGUCCUUCCUCCAGAUGGCGCCCCAGGAGUGCUUCAGGGGCUCGUACGUGUCGGAGCCCUUCUCCUUGACGUCCACUGCCACAAUGUCACCGUCGCCGUCGACGUACUUGACCAACAGUGCCAGGUAGUUGGGGCCGCACCCCUUUUCAAGGUGGAAGGUGACCUUGGAGUCGUACUUGCACUUAACCCUUCGGAACUGCAUGUCGAUGAUGCCCGCCUUGCGCAGCUUCUCCUCCUCGCCCUUCUUGGCCAUGGCGC